CUUGGAAUGUCUCUCAAAAAUUCCCUAGGCAGUAGGCAAUAGAGUGAUAGAUCAAUUUCCAACCUCUGACACAGGCUUGCUUGCCAGCAUCACAAAGGUUGGCUCAUCACUAAUUGUAUUCACUCUUCCAUCCUUACUGACGCUUCCAUUUUGGGAAACUCCUCCAUCAGGUUCUCCAACAGACAAGGAAGGUACUGAAGAUUUUGAUGAAGGAGCCCACAAGUUUGAAACAUUGUCUCUACUGCAGGGCUGCAAUCACUGUGAGUGGCCGUUAACAACUGAUGUUCCUGGAAUUCGACCCAAGUCUACUGAAUCAAAAGCCCUGGUGCUGGUUCAGGAAUCUUCUGUGCACACAGCCUCGUAAGCACUUUUGUGAGUGGACCUCUGCCAGAUGCUGCCAGCUGGUUUUCAGGGACACCCAUUAGAUUUGCUACCUUGGCUGAGUAGGUUUCAUGUUAUACAGAAUUUCGUCACAUUUUCUCAUUCCUAUGUUCUUAAUGUUAUAAAGAUGGAGUGUCUCCUAAAAGAUUUUCCUGAAAUAGAAGACAUGGUUUUUAAAAACUCUUGUUCUUGGGUUUCUCAUCGACUUCUUCUAUCCCUCCCCUACUUUGCACUUCACUUCUUGUCUCUUUUCUGAAAACUUUACUGGCCUGAGUUAGAAACAUAUGGGGCACGCCGAGGAGGAGGGUAAGUGCCAGACAACAAUAAGAUGUGAAGGGAAGCCAACCUCAUUUGGGGGAUUCAUGGAGAAAACCUGAAAGGGAAAACUAACUUACAGGUGGAUUCUCCAGAGGAGAAAUGGCAUACUGCAGAGCUCUUGGGGAGCUCACAGGCAAGGUGUGAUGCUGCCUCCUGAAGAACGGAACACAGAUAUGACUGAUGGAAGAAAGAGAGUGAGAGAUAACCAAAGAUGUGAGUCAAACAAAUCUCAUACAGAGUACAAUCAAAGUAACAGGGGAGGGCAGGCUUUGUGGAGGAAGAAGAGAGUUUUGAGAAGUUGGUUUGACUUCCAGAUGAGUCAAUCAACCAUCCUUCUAUCUUGUGCACAUAGGUAGUAUCUCCAAGAUUUCGUCAGUGUAUCUCCAUUCUGACCACUGCCAUUUCUUAAUGUAUGAGAAAGCACACCUAACUCACCCUCACAAAGAUCAUUAACAUAGUAUAUUCUCCAUUUCUCACUUUCAUGAUUCAUUUACAUGAGUAGAUGUGUCUACUGGAAAUCAAAGGGUUUUGUUUUCUUUUCAUUUUAUUUUCCUCUCAACCUACCUUUACUAGGCACAAAGCACAGUGUGGUUGAGAGAUAUCAUGAAGUCUACUCUUGACCUUCAUGUUCCCUGCUCCACUUACAGAGCCUGAAUGUGAGACUUGUGCAAUGAGGAAAAUGGGUACAGAACUGAAGAAAAAUGAAGGUAGACAAGCCAGUCUUAUUCCUUUGGAUUAAGACCUCACAUUUAAAAGUUCCAGAUAAAAAGACACAAAAGAACCAAGUUCUUUCCAGCAAAGUUUUUGGGCCCUGAGAAUCUGGACUGAAAUGGAAGAAAACACUGGCAGAGGCUGUGAACUAUGUGAAGAGAAAAACUGAUGUGAGUGGUACAAAGUGCAUGGGAGUCAAGAGCAUCCUGAGAUGUGGAAAGAACCCUACAUGGAGAAACCCCAAAGACAGUUUCUUGACCUAUAAAAACUCCUCAUAUCGAGUCUGAGUGUAGAUCCAGUUUCAUCAGUGAAGUAAGUACAGAAUCAGAGGCAGGGGGAAGGUGGGUGCAUGCCUGAUGAAAUACAUGGACAAAACCAGUGACAGGACACAGGCUGCAUGCCAGACAACUGUGCAGCGUUUAGGCAACUAUUAUUUCCUCUACAUUAAACAAAGUCUGACGGAAUACUUGGGAAGAAAGAUAGACCAAUUUCUCUAAUUUAUCUAGAGCUAAAGAGAAAAAGUGGAACUCAUUCGUUUGGUCAUGGGAGAACAAAGUUCAUGCACUCCUUUUCUUUGGCAAAAUCAACUCAAAUGAUUCAUGUCCGGGAGACUUGAAUCCUGGAGAAGAACUUCAAGAAAGGGGAAGUUUCUAAAGAUUUGCGCACACUGAUCAUAAACCUUUCCCCAGUGGAAAAUAAGUUGCCUGGCUUAAGCAGAUCUUCCCCUCACCUAUCCCAUUACUCCAGCCUUGCUUCCCUGCAGUACUCCAAGGAUGCUAGGACUAUAAGAGCAAGAUGGUAAUAAAAUAUUUAGUUCUAGGAGUGGCA